CCUACGGGAGGCUGCAGUGGGGAAUAUUGGACAAUGGGGGGAACCCUGAUCCAGCGACGCCGCGUGAGUGAAGAAGUAUUUCGGUAUGUAAAGCUCUAUCAGCAGGGAAGAAAGAAAUGACGGUACCUGACUAAGAAGCCCCGGCUAACUACGUGCCAGCAGCCGCGGUAAUACGUAGGGGGCAAGCGUUAUCCGGAUUUACUGGGUGUAAAGGGAGUGUAGACGGCGAUGCAAGUCUGAAGUGAAAGGCGGGGGCCCAACCCGCGGACUGCUUUGGAAACUGGAUGGCUGGAGUGCAGGAGAGGUAAGUGGAAUUCCUAGUGUAGCGGUGAAAUGCGUAGAGAUUAGGAGGAACACCAGUGGCGAAGGCGGCUUACUGGACUGUAACUGACGUUGAGGCUCGAAAGCGUGGGGAGCAAACAGGAUUAUAUACCCCGGUAGUC
rnacentral:rRNA from 1 species